rnacentral:rRNA from 1 species
UACGUAGGGUGCAAGCGUUGUCCGGAAUUAUUGGGCGUAAAGAGCUCGUAGGCGGUCUGUCACGUCGGCUGUGAAAACCCGAGGCUCAACCUCGGGCCUGCAGUCGAUACGGGCAAACUAGAGUACUGCAGGGGAGACUGGAAUUCCUGGUGUAGCGGUGAAAUGCGCAGAUAUCAGGAGGAACACCGGUGGCGAAGGCGGGUCUCUGGGCAAGUAACUGACGCUGGAGGAGCG